GAUGAACGCUGGCGGCGUGCCUAAUACAUGCAAGUCGAGCGAACAGAUAAGGAGCUUGCGCCUUUGACGUUAGCGGCGGACGGGUGAGUAACACGUGUGUAACCUACCUAUAAGACUGGGAUAACUUCGGGAAACCGGAGCUAAUACCGGAUAAUAUUUCGAACCGCAUGGUUCGAUAGUGAAAGAUGGUUUUGCUAUCACUUAUAGAUGGAUCUGGGCCGUAUUAGCUAGUUGGUAAGGUAACGGCUUACCAAGGCGACGAUACGUAGCCGACCUGAGAGGGUGAUAGGCCACACUGGAACUGAGACACGGUCCAGACUCCUACGGGAGGCAGCAGUAGGGAAUCUUACGCAAUGGGCGAGAGCCUGACGGAGCAACGCCGCGUGAGUGAUGGAGGUCUUCGGAUCGUAAAACUCUGUUAUUAGGGAAGAACAUCCGUGUAAGUAACUGUGCACGGCUUGACGGUAACUAAUCAGAAAGCAACGGCUAACUACGUG
rnacentral:rRNA from 1 species